rnacentral:rRNA from 1 species
UACAGAGGGUGCGAGCGUUAAUCGGAUUUACUGGGCGUAAAGGGCGCGUAGGCGGUUAGUUAAGAUAGCUGUGAAAUCCCUGGGCUUAACCUAGGAACUGCAGCUGUGACUGGCUAGCUAGAGUACUGUAGAGGGUAGUGGAAUUUCCGGUGUAGCGGUGAAAUGCGUAGAGAUCGGAAGGAACACCAGUGGCGAAGGCGGCUACCUGGACAGAUACUGACGCUGAGGCGCGAGAGCGUGGGGAGCAAACAGG